CCUACGGGUGACAGCAGUGAGGAAUAGUGGUCAAUGGACGGAAGUCUGAACCAGCCAUGCCGCGUGCAGGAAGACGGCUCUAUGAGUUGUAAACUGCUUUUGUACAAGGGUAAACCUGAAUGCGUGUAUGCAGCUGAAAGUACUGUACGAAUAAGGAUCGGCUAACUCCGGGCCAGCAGCCGCGGUAAUACGGAGGAGCCAAGCGUUAUCCGGAUUUAUUGGGUUUAAAGGGUGCGUCGGCGGAUUGAUAAGUUAGAGGUGAAAUGUCCGAGCUUUACUCGGGAACUGCCUCUAAUACUGUUGAUCUAGAGUGUAGCUGCGGUAGGCGGAAUGUAUGGUGUAGCGGUGAAAUGCUU
rnacentral:rRNA from 1 species